UCAUUCUUUCUUAGAUCUAAGUAUGAAAUAUGAAUUAGUUUUGAAAAUUUUGGUUGGAUUGAUUUGUAUUUAGGUAUUUGGGUUACAUUAAAAUUAAAUGUACAUGGAAAUAGAAAUAGAGAGAGGCGAUGAGGACACGGAGAAAGAAGCAGAGAAAGAGAGAGGCGAUGAAAUACAGAGAGGAUGAGGCCUGCGACACGGAGAAAGAAACAGAGAAAGAGGCAGAACGGUAAACACUGCAUCGAUUGGGCAUAAGAAAUCAAAAAGUUUCAAAACGCGAUUUUGCAAACCCAAAACCUAGGCAGAAAGGUAAACAGAGAAGGCACGGAGAAAGAAACAGAGAAAGAGGCAGAGUUCCUAAGGCCGUCCAUUGUGCAUUACAAUCAAAAGGAAAAGAGAGAAGAGUUCGUCUGAACCAUACACCGUCCAUUCCCUUGCCAAAUUUAGACCACCAGACAGCGGAACCGACAUUGACAAAGGAGCACAUUGCAUUAGAAGAAAUUUUUGAAGAAUGAAGUGGAUUUUCAAUAGAAAAUGCUGAAGUGAUGUUGCAAAUUCAGUGGCUAUGGCCAAGAGAAGAAUGAAACCAAUUUUGGAUUCAUAAACAAGCUUGGAGUUGAUUGGUGGUGCUUCCAUGACAGGGAUAUAGCCCCUGAUGGCAAAAACCUGGAGGAAAUUAACGCAAACUUGGAUGAAGUUGUGGCCCUUGCCAAGAAGCUUCAGUUUUGAAAGUUGUGCUGGCUUUGAUGGAAUGUGAUGGGAAAUGUUUGAGACCGUGUGAAGUUGGGAGGGAGGGGGGAAUGAUGAACAAGGAUUAGACUGCUGCAAAGUACGAACAUCGGAGAGAGAACUUUUUCAAUGAGCUGGAGAUUGUCUUUGCUGAUGUGCAGCUUAGGACAGGUGUAUGUUAGGCAACAUCAACAAUAACAGCUAUGGCAGCAAGUCAACUUCAGCAGCAACAUCACAGGUUUUACUAGAAUGAGACUGAUUUUCAGGAUUUAUGAUGGCUGAACCAAUGCUCAUGAUUGGUGGCAAUAAUGCUCAACUUAAGUUGCUGCGUAACUCAUGUUGGUGCUGCUGCUGGAGGCUUAAGUAGCUGCAUAAUUGUUGGUGUUGUUGUUGCUUAAAGUCAAAUUCUUCUUUUAGACACUAUAUGCUUAAAUAUAUUACAUUAUUUAAGUUUGAAUGUAUGCAGUGGAAGUAUGAUAACUAAAUUUAUGUAGGAUGCAAAGUUCAUAAUUAAUAUGUAAAAUGUUCCCGCGCAUUGCGCAGGUUAAACACUAA